rnacentral:lncRNA from 1 species
GAAAGAUGUCUGACUGCCUCUCCCUAGGGACUCUAUCUAGGAGAUGGAUCCCUGGAAGAAGGGAGACACUCCGGCUUCUACUGUGAGAGUCUGGAUAAUAUCCAAAGGCACACAGCCUCUGGAAACUUAAAAUAAAAAGCUCAACAGCGCUUUCCAAAGACAGGGAAAAGGCUCAAACUGCAAGAUUAGGUCGACGUCUUUCAUAAUUAUUUUCUAUUAAAAACUUUCCCGGAAAUGUGUUCGUGACACCAGCCGGGAGCCUCUUCUUUUCUAGGGAUACUGGCCAGCUCUAGUAUUGUUAUUCUCCGCAAGGAUAUUUUCCUUCUGUGGCCUUUAGAAAAUAAUGGACGACUCGACUUUCUUGUUUUGACUAACGAAACCUCUCUUGGAGAGACUGGAGUACGCAGAUCGAACCUAGAAAUUGUACUUUCCUCAAGAUCCGCUUAAGAGAAUCUGGUUGAUGGCUUUGGUCUGAGAGUUCAGACAUCUCUUGUGCAACUAAGAAAGACCUCAUUUUCCAUUUGCUGGAUCCUCCUGGUUUGUCAUCCCUGAGUCCUGUAAGAAGCUCAUCAGGAGGUCCCCUGCGCCGGAAGGACCAUGUGAGCUCAUCCCAGAUGAUGGGUGGCACCAUGGUUUUAGCAGCUCACACAGUGGAGAACCACAUUUGCUCUGGAAGAGCUUAGCAACAUGUAUUUGAUAACACAACAAGGUCAGCUUGAGCUCUAUCCUUCUGUGGCCAUACUGAACAAAAGGAGAGACAGACAGACAGACAGACAGACAGACAGGCAGGCAGGCAGGCAAGCAGACAGAGGCAGAGACAGGCAGACAGAGACAGAGAAACAGAGAAAUGAUUCCUGAAUUAUUUUUAAAAAUUAAUUUUAAAAU